GAUCCUGGCUCAGAUUGAACGCUGGCGGCAGGCUUAACACAUGCAAGUCGAACGGUAGCAGGUAAGUACUUGUACUUAUGCUGACGAGUGGCGGACGGGUGAGUAAUGCUUGGGGACCUGGCUUAUGGAGGGGGAGUAACGACGGGAAACUGUCGCUAAUACCGCGUAGAAUCGAGAGAUGAAAGUGUGGGACCUUCGGGCCGACAUGCCAUAGGAUGAACCCAAGUGGGAUUAGGUAGUUGGUGGGGUAAG
rnacentral:rRNA from 1 species